AUUGAACGCUGGCGGCAGGCCUAACACAUGCAAGUCGAACGGAGUGGCGGACGGGUGAGUAAUGUCUGGGAAACUGCCUGAUGGAGGGGGAUAACGACCGGAAACGGGCGCUAAUACCGCAUACUAUCAGAUGAGCCUAGGUGGGAUUAGCUAGUUGGUGGGGGAAAGGCCUACCAAGGCGACGAUCCGUAACUGGUCUGAGAGGAUGAGCAGUCACACUGGAACGGAGACACGGUCCAGACUCCUACGGGAGGCAGCAGUGGGGAAUAUUGGACAAUGAGCGAAAGCCUGAUCCAGCCAUGCCGCGUGUGUGAAGAAGGUAUUCGGAUUGUAAAGCACUGUAAGUUGGGAGGCGUUACCAACAGAAUAAGCACCGGCUAACUUCGUGCCAGCAGCCGCGGUAAUUC
rnacentral:rRNA from 1 species